CACUGUUUGAACUUUAGUAUUUUUCUUUCUUGUGAUAUGCAUGUGUUUUUUGUGGAUAUUUUAUUUGUCUGAUGGUUCUUUCUUUUGCAUGUUUUGGAAUUUUGUACUUUUACAUAGUUGAGUCCAAGAAGAAGUUUUGGUGCUGCAAGUAAACCUCAAGGUGAGAUUGUUUGGCUAAACAACAUGAUUGACAUAUGUAUUUAUGAAGCACCAGCACAUACACUGGACACGACACUAACACAUAGACGCCAAUAAUAAUUUGAGAAAAUUGAAGUGCUUAAAUGUAAACCAUGGGUCAGUGUCAUACACCAGAAUCCAGAUAUGUUCAGUGUUAUCUGAUAAUUGAGUUUUAAGUUUAAUGUCUCUAACAGUGAAGUUUUAUUGAAAUGCAGUUAUAAAAGCUGUGCUAUAUAAAGACGUAGAAAUUUCUGAGACCAAGAAGGUUGCUGGACUAAAAGGUAAAUUGAAUAAGGUUGUUCUGGCUUAUAGUGGUGGCUUAGACACAUCGGUUGUUGUCCCCUGGCUGAGGUAUAUAAAUAUUAUUUUAUUUUGUUUUGUUCCUUUUCAAAUUCUCACAAUUUAGAUUUCUAUUUAAUUUAACAAUAUUUGAUGUUUAUUUAUAUUUCAGAGAGAACUAUGGCUGUGAUGUUGUUUGCUUCACUGCUGAUCUAGGCCAAGUAUGUUCUAAUCUGUACAUAAAUAUGAUAAAUAGUCUCUAAUGUAUAUAAAAUCCUUCAAUUUAGUCCCUGCUAUUAAGAUUCAGAUGUCAAAGACUAAAUUGCAGGAUUUCAUACACUUUAGAAACUGAAUUGACUGAUGUCAUUUACUUUAAUUGCUGCAUGCUUGAUUAACAAAUGCAAAUUUUCUUAGGGGGCAAGUGAAUUGGAAGGUUUAGAAGAGAAGGCAAAAGCCAGCGGAGCUUCUCAGUUAGUCGUGAAGGAUUUGAAGGAGGAAUUUGUUAGGGAUUAUGUAUUCCCUUGCCUGCGUGCCGGUGCAAUUUAUGAGAGGAAGUAUUUGCUUGGAACUGCAAUAGCUCGCCCUGUAAUUGCAAAGGUACAAUUCUGCUUUGGUUCUUAGCUUGCUAAGUUAAUUAAAAGCAGUAAUGUCAACCCUUAUGCUUUUAGAUUGAUUUUUUUUUUGCAUUAAAUCUCUAUUCAUGAAGCUAUUUUUUUUAGUUGUUCGGAGUUGGCCCAAGGGUACUGACACUUGCUAUGAGCCUCUAACCCACUCCGCUCAACUCCUACAUAGCUCACCUCCGUUAAGAGUCUCAUAUUGGAGGAGAUCUAGUCUGAAAAAGUGUUGUGAGAGACAUCUCUCACCUUAUAAGUCGAUUUUGUAGGGUUGUCGUUCAUGUUCCAGACAGGGACCCAACCCAUCUGCUAAGAUGGUAUCAGAAUAUUUCCAACAUCUGUUGUUGGCCUGCCCAAAUAGUUCACACUCCAAUGAAAUUUUUCCUUAAUUGCAGCCCCAGCCAGUUUUGUAAGGUUGAGUCAGACCCAACUCAAAUUCUAAGAACCUCCGUUUUGAUAUCUAUAAAAAUUGUACAUAGAAGAUACUAUCUCAUAAUUUGUUCACUCUAAGGCCUCACCUAACUUUAGAUCUUACCUUCCCUUAGGCGGCUAGCCCUGUGUUACCUCUCAGUAUCACUUUCAUAUUUUACAAGAAUCAUAAUGACAAUCAUUAUGUUCACUCUUCUGCUAAUGACACGUUCCGAAUUUCACAUGUCUAUUCUCUUCCGUUUGUUCUCAACAUUUGUGCAACCUUCUAUCUAGUAUUGAUGUCUACUGACUUGAUAGGCUAUGGUGGAUAUUGCCAAUGAAGUUGGAGCUGAUGCUGUCUCGCAUGGUUGUACAGGGAAAGGAAAUGAUCAGGCAUGUAUUAUUUACAAUUAGGCUCACACACCAAUUAAUCAUGCCAAUUAUUUUCUUCUAACGUGUUCGAUUUAUGAUUCUUAAGGUUCGAUUUGAACUCUCCUUUUUUGCUCUGAAUCCCAAGUUAAAUGUCGUGGCUCCAUGGAGGGAGUGGGAUAUUACAGGGAGAGAAGAUGCUAUUGAGUAUGCUAAGAAGCAUGAUGUACCGGUUCCUGUAACCAAAAAAUCCAUAUAUAGCAGGGAUAGGAACCUUUGGCACAUAACUCAUGAGGUAGGUUUUCAAGUUAUCUUAAUUGCAGCUCUCAAUCUAAUUGAAAGUAACCAAUACUAUGUUUUAUGAUUUGUUGUCACGACAUUUUUUUUCUUCCCUCAUUUAAGAUUUCGUUCAAAAGUGAAGACAUUUUCUCUUAUACGCUUCCAAUUUGUGACAAUGAAGGGUGAUGUUUUGGAAGAUCCAGCAAAUGAACCUAAAAAGGAUAUGUACAUGUUGACUGUAGACCCAGAGGAUGCUCCAAACGAGCCAGAGUAAGCAUGUUGUAAAUGACUUUAUUUAUAACCAUAUUUUUUAAAAAGGCCCAUAAGUUAUGGGCCAUUGAGGCAUCAUUAUUCGUUAGUUAUAUUUGAAUGUGAUUAUCAAGGAUCGCAACAUGGCUGCAACCAGCCUUAACCGUAACAGGACCACGAUUAAGGCUGCAUCAGCCACAUUUGACCAUGCUUCUUAGUGAUAUCAAAGAUAGUGACGCGGCCACAACCAUUAAUGCAAAUUAAAACAUUCAUUAUAUCCAGAAUUAGCUCUCGUUUAGUUUCACUACUUACUUGGAAAGUGUGUCGCAGAUAUGUGGAGAUUGGAUUUGAGUUAGGCAUUCCAGUAUCGCUGAACGGGAAGAGGCUUUCUCCAGGAAAUUUGGUUGCUGAGCUGAAUGAGAUAGGUGGAAGGCAUGGAAUAGGCCGUGUCGACUUGGUUG
rnacentral:lncRNA from 1 species